UGAUCUUGAACAUAAUCAAGGACUAUAAAGGGUUUGAGACGUUAUCAUAUUUGCACGUUAGCCUACCAGAGUUUCAUGAAUGCUGACCAAAGGCAUGAGACUCCUGGGUCGGAGACAAAGGAGCUAAUUUAGGGUCCCUGUAGAAGGAUCCUUUGAUGUAGAGAUGCUACUGAAUAAUCUCUCACAGAUGCCCACACUAGAGCUGUCUGCAGUGUCUGUCAUGAAGCUUUUCAUGUCCAUGACAUCGAUUUCUUGAUCUGUCCAGAUUUGCUGAGUCCUAAGUACACACCGAAGAACUGAUGCUUUUGAACUGUGGUGUUGGAGAAGACUCUUAAGAGUCCCUUGGACUGCAAGGAAAUCCAACCGGUCCAUUCUGAAGGAGAUCAG